rnacentral:lncRNA from 1 species
CAGUAAUGUACAAAUGUCUGGAAAGCGAACAGUAUAUGAGUCAGAUACAUGCUUGUGUGUGUAUGGAGGGGAGAAAAUCAGGUGUAGUGUUGGCGAAUCUCAGGAAGCAUGGAAGUUUUGAAGGAUGCAGUGCUCCGACAACUAACAACUGAUGCCGCCAGUUUGUUCCAUGCUUCAGCAUGUGUAUGGAGGGCAGAAGAUCAGGUGUAGUGUUAGCGAAUCUCAGGAAGCAUGGAAGUUUUGAAGAAUGCAGUGCUCCGACAACUAACAACUGAUGCCGCCAGUUUGUUCCAUGCUUCAGCGUGUGUAUGGAGGGCAGAAGAUCAGGUGUAGUGUUGGCGAAUCUCAGGAAGCAUGGAAGUUUUGAAGGAUGCAGUGCUCCGACAACUAACAACUGAUGCCGCCAGUUUGUUCCAUGCUUCAGCAUGUGUAUGGAGGGGAGAAGAUCAGGUGUAGUGUUGGCGAAUCUCAGGAAGCAUGGAAGUUUUGAAGGAUGCAGUGCUCCGACAACUAACAACUGAUGCCGGCAGUUUGUUCCAUGCUUCAGCGUGUGUAUGGAGGGGAGAAGAUCAGGUGUAGUGUUGGCGAAUCUCAGGGAGCAUGGAAGUUUUGAAGGAUGCAGUGCUCCGACAACUAACAACCGAUGCCGGCAGUUUGUUCCAUGCUUCAGCAACUCUCAGCGUGAAAAAAUGUUUCCUGAAGUCAUGGGAGCUGUGCUGUUUUCUGACUUUGUAAAUAUGUCCACGGGUGUUAGAUGGGUGGAAUUUGAAAAGGUGCUCAGAGUUAUUGUUUGUGCGAUGGUUGAUAAUUUUAUGGGUGUCUGCCAAGUCAGCUGACAGACGCCGGAGUUUCAAUGUGUCCAUGCCAAGGGAAGUAAGGCGUUCAGAAUAUGGCAAAUGCCUGAUGGAGGGUAUUCAUUUGGUAGCACGUCGCUGAACAGCUUCCAAACGAUUGAUAUCCUGGGCAAGAUAGG